GAGGCGUCCGGACUGGCCCAGAGAGGCGGGCAACUGCCACUCAGGGCCGGAAAGCUCUCCAAACUCGGUCAUUUAGAGGAAGUAAAAGUCGUAACAAGGUCUCCGUUGGUGAACCAGCGGAGGGAUCAUUA
rnacentral:rRNA from 1 species